rnacentral:rRNA from 1 species
ACGCUGGCGGCGUGCCUAAUACAUGCAAGUAGAACGCUGAAGGAGGAGCUUGCUCUUCUGGAUGAGUUGCGAACGGGUGAGUAACGCGUAGGUAACCUGCCUGGUAGCGGGGGAUAACUAUUGGAAACGAUAGCUAAUACCGCAUAACAGUAAAUGUUGCAUGACAUUUACUUAAAAGGUGCAAUUGCAUCACUACCAGAUGGACCUGCGUUGUAUUAGCUAGUUGGUGGGGUAACGGCUCACCAAGGCGACGAUACAUAGCCGACCUGAGAGGGUGAUCGGCCACACUGGGACUGAGACACGGCCCAGACUCCUAAGGGAGGCAGCAGUAGGGAAUCUUAGGCAAUGGACGGAAGUCUGACCGAGCAACGCCGCGUGAGUGAAGAAGGUUUUCGGAUCGUAAAGCUCUGUUGUAAGAGAAGAACGAGUGUGAGAGUGGAAAGUUCACACUGUGACGGUAUCUUACCAGAAAGGGACGGCUAACUACGUGCCAGCAGCCGCGGUAAUACGUAGGUCCCGAGCGUUGUCCGGAUUUAUUGGGCGUAAAGCGAGCGCAGGCGGUUAGAUAAGUCUGAAGUUAAAGGCUGUGGCUUAACCAUAGUACGCUUUGGAAACUGUUUAACUUGAGUGCAAGAGGGGAGAGUGGAAUUCCAUGUGUAGCGGUGAAAUGCGUAGAUAUAUGGAGGAACACCGGUGGCGAAAGCGGCUCUCUGGCUUGUAACUGACGCUGAGGCUCGAAAGCGUGGGGAGCAAACAGGAUUAGAUACCCUGGUAGUCCACGCCGUAAACGAUGAGUGCUAGGUGUUAGACCCUUUCCGGGGUUUAGUGCCGCAGCUAACGCAUUAAGCACUCCGCCUGGGGAGUACGACCGCAAGGUUGAAACUCAAAGGAAUUGACGGGGGCCCG